rnacentral:misc_RNA from 1 species
AAGAAAAAAAAAAUAAGGAGAGAUCCAAGCACCUUUUUUCUAUUCUUUUUAUGGUUGGAGGAAGGUUUUGAGGAUGGGUAGAAAUUAAGGAAGAGUUGGGCAAGAAGGACUUUUGAUUUCCCUUUUCUCUGUUGAAUAAUGUGCAGAACAAUGAUUUUGUAGUCAUUUUGGUUAUAGAGGAAGUUGUGAAAAAUGGGUCGUGGGUGUAUUUGUUAGUACAAUGGGUAAAAAGUAAAAACCUGCUUUCUGGCCCUUUUCACUCCAAUUUUUGAACUUUUGAUUGGUUGAGUUUUGGUUAAGCAGUAGGAUUAAAGUUGAUAUCCUUCUUCCUUAUGCACAUGUUCACCUAAACCUAGAGUGAAGUAGUACCAGUUCCUCCUAUUUCUUAUUCUUUCCUUCCAAUCAUCCCAAACCAGAGUGCUAGUCUAAACCAUAUACUUAAUUCUG